rnacentral:rRNA from 1 species
UACGGAGGGUGCAAGCGUUGUCCGGAUUUAUUGGGUUUAAAGGGUGCGUAGGCGGCUUUUUAAGUCAGUGGUGAAAUCCUGCAGCUUAACUGUAGAACAGCCAUUGAUACUGAAGAGCUUGAGUACAGACGAGGUAGGCGGAAUUUAUGGUGUAGCGGUGAAAUGCAUAGAUACCAUAAAGAACACCUAUUGCGAAGGCAGCUUACUAGGCUGUAACUGACGCUGAGGCACGAAAGCGUGGGGAUCAAACAGGAUUAGAAACCCCCGUAGUCC